UACGAAGGGAGCUAGCGUUGUUCGGAAUCACUGGGCGUAAAGCGCACGUAGGCGGACGUGUCAGUCAGGGGUGAAAUCCCGGAGCUCAACUUCGGAACUGCCUUUGAUACAGCACGUCUUGAGUCCGGAAGAGGUGGGUGGAAUUCCUAGUGUAGAGGUGAAAUUCGUAGAUAUUAGGAAGAACACGGUGGCGAAAGGCGGCCCACUGGUCCGGUACUGACGCUGAGGUGCGAAAGCGUGGGGAGCAAACAGG
rnacentral:rRNA from 1 species